rnacentral:rRNA from 1 species
CCUACGGGAGGCAGCAGUGGGGGAUAUUGCACAAUGGGGGAAAGCCUGAUGCAGCGACGCCGCGUGUGGGAAGACGGUCCUCUGGAUUGUAAACCACUGUCGCAAGGGACGAAGAUGACGGUACCUGGGAAGGAAGCUGCGGCAAAGUACGUGCCAGCAGACGCGGUACUACGUAGGGAGCGAGCGUUGUCCGGAAUUACUGGGUGUAAAGGGAGCGUAGGCGGGGAUGCAAGGUGGGUGUAAAAACUACCGGCUCAACUGGUAGUCGCACUCAAAACUGCAGCUCUUGAGUGAAGUAGAGGCAGGCGGAAUUCCUGGUGUAGCGGUGAAAUGCGUAGAUAUUAGGAGGAACCCCAGUGGCGAAGGCGGCCUGCUGGGCUUUUACUGACGCUGAGGCUCGAAAGUGUGGGGAGCAAACAGGAUUAGAUACCCGAGUAGUC